rnacentral:lncRNA from 1 species
AGGUAUAAUCAUAUCGAUAUCUUUGAAGAGUUUCAAGCAAUCGAUCGAUGGAAGCUAAGUAUACUGUAGAUAUGUAGGAUGCAUUCUGAUUCUAAUAUUAGUCGCAGAAUUGGAUGUAAUGCCAUUAGAUACCAUGAUACUAUACUGUAAAGACAAUGGCACCAUAGCCCUUGCUAAGGAGCCUAGGUCUCACCAAAUAUCCAAGCACAUAGAGCAGCAGAACACGCGACUAUCUCAAGUAGAAAUACAUAGAGGUGCAGAG